rnacentral:tRNA from 1 species
AGCUCAACUGGACAGAGUGUUAGGUUACAGCUCUAAAGGUUGCGGGUUCGACUCCUGUA